rnacentral:rRNA from 1 species
UACGUAGGGUGCAAGCGUUAAUCGGAAUUACUGGGCGUAAAGCGCGCGCAGGCGGUUGUGUAAGACAGAUGUGAAAUCCCCGGGCUCAACCUGGGAACUGCAUUUGUGACUGCACAGCUGGAGUGCGGCAGAGGGGGAUGGAAUUCCGCGUGUAGCAGUGAAAUGCGUAGAUAUGCGGAGGAACACCGAUGGCGAAGGCAAUCCCCUGGGCCUGCACUGACGCUCAUGCACGAAAGCGUGGGGAGCGAACAGG